AUUGAACGCUGGCGGCAGGCCUAACACAUGCAAGUCGAACGGUAACAGAACUAGCUUGCUAGUUGCUGACGAGUGGCGGACGGGUGAGUAAUGCUUGGGAAUUUGCCUUUGGGAGGGGGAUAACCACUGGAAACGGUGGCUAAUACCGCAUAACGUCUACGGACCAAAGGGGGCUUAGGCUCCCACCUAUAGAGAAGCCCAAGUGAGAUUAGCUAGUUGGUGAGGUAAAGGCUCACCAAGGCGACGAUCUCUAGCUGUUCUGAGAGGAAGAUCAGCCACACUGGAACUGAGACACGGUCCAGACUCCUACGGGAGGCAGCAGUGGGGAAUAUUGCACAAUGGGGGAAACCCUGAUGCAGCCAUGCCGCGUGUGUGAAGAAGGCCUUCGGGUUGUAAAGCACUUUCAGUUUGUGAGGAAAAGGUUAGUAGUUAAUACCUGCUAGCUGUGACGUUAGCAACAGAAGAAGCACCGGCUAACUCCGUGCCAG
rnacentral:rRNA from 1 species